GAUGAACGCUGGCGGCGUGCUUAACACAUGCAAGUCGAACGGGAGUAUUGAAGAAGCUUGCUUUAGAGAUACUUUAGUGGCGGACGGGUGAGUAACGCGUGAGGAGCUGUCCUAUGCAGGGGGACAACAGUUGGAAACGACUGCUAAUACCCCAUAAGCCGAGAGGUAAAAGGAUUUAUCCGGCAUGGGAGGUACUCGCGUCCUAUCAGCUAGUAGGUGAGGUAACGGCUCACCUAGGCGAAGACGGGUAGCCGGCCUGAGAGGGCGAACGGCCACACUGGAACUGAGAUACGGUCCAGACUCCUACGGGAGGCAGCAGUGGGGAAUAUUGGGCAAUGGGGGGAACCCUGACCCAGCGACGCCGCGUGGGUGAAGAAAUCCUUCGGGAUGUAAAGCCCUGUUGUAUGGGAAGAGCGGAAGACGGUACCAUACGAGGAAGCCCCGGCAAACUACGUGCCAGCAGCCGCCGUAA
rnacentral:rRNA from 1 species